UGGGGAAUCGUCUAACGGCAGGACAACGGACUCUGACUCCGUCAAUCUAGGUUCGAAUCCUAGUUCCCCAGCCA
rnacentral:tRNA from 1 species